UUCUUCAUAAUUUAUGCAUUAUGAGCAACAAUUGUCUUAUCUGUUUGAAUGUUUAUUUUUGUAUCUGUUACAUAAAAUAGAUAAUUUGUCAGUAGUGUAACACAUGUGUAUGAUUUAUAAACAAACAAAAAGAGCUAUGUGCUUAAAUAUUUUUCCAUACAAUUUAUUCAUUCAUUUCUUUAUUAUUGGCCACACCCACAUCACACAGGAUCUUAGUUCCCUGACCAGGGAUCAAAUCCACAUCCCCUGUAUUGGGAGCACGGAGUCUUAACCACUGGACCACCAGGAAGGACCCUUUUUUAAUUGAUGGUGAUACAUGGAGAUAAAGACUUGGAGGCUGCUUUACUAAGUGGUAAGGAGGAUAACCAGCCACAAUCUAGGAGCUAGAGCCUAGAAAGACGCUGGAGCAUUUCAACUGGGAAAUUACUGUGGGAGCCCAGGAGCUUUGAGCUGAAUUAUUCUGGCUCUGGAUACUUGAUAUUGGCUGUCAUGGCUGAAAAAGUUCUUCCAACAAUGUGCUAACCAAAAUGGAAAAAUUAUAUCUUUCACUGUGCUUUCAAAAUUGUAAUUGUCAUUGUUUAAAGUCAGACAUCUUGGAGUGAGAAGUCAAGUGGGCCUUAGGAAGCAUCUCUACCAACAAAGCUAGUGGAGGUGAUAGAAUUCCAGUUGAGCUAUUUCAAAUCCUAAAAGAUGAUGCUGUAGAAGUGCUGCACUCAAUAUGCCAGCAAAUUUGGAAAACUCAGCAGUGGCCACAAGACUGGAAAAGGUCAGUUUUCAUUCCAGUCCCAAAGAAAGGCAAUGUCAAAGAAUGCUCAAACUACCGCACAAUUGCACUCAUUUCACACGCUAGCAAAGUAAUGCUCAAAAUUCUCCGAGCUAGGCUUCAACAGUAUGUGAAUUGAGAACUUACAGAUGUUCAAGCUGGAUUUAGGAAGGGCAGAAGAAUCAGAGAUCAAAUUGCCAAUGCCCAUUGGGUCAUUAAAAAGCAAGAGAAUUACAGGAAAAUGUCUACUUCUGCUUUAUUGAUUAUGCCAAAGCCUUUGUGUAGAUCACAACAAACUGUGGAAAAUUCUUCAAGAGAAGGGAAUACCAGACCACCUUACCUGCCUCAUGAGAAAUGUGUAUGCAGGUCAAGAAGCAACAGUUAGAACCAGACAUGGAACAACAGACUAGUUCCAAAUUGGGAAAGGAGUACGUCAAGGCUGUAUAUUGUCACCCUGCUUAUUUAACUGAUAGGCAGAGUACGUCAUGCAAAGUGCCAGGUGGAUGAAGCUCAAAUUGGAAUCAAGAUUGCCAGGAGAAAUAUCAACAACCUCAGAUAUGCAGAUGACACCACCCUAUGGCAGAAAGCAAAGAGGAACUAAAGUCUGUUGAUGAAAGUGAAAGAGGAGAGUGAAAGAGCUGGCUUAAAACUCAACAUUCAAAAAAUGAAGAUCAUGGCAUCUAGUCCCAUCACUUCAUGGCAAAUAGAUGGGGAAACGAUGGAAACAGUGACAAACUUUAUUUUCUUGAGCUCCAAAAUCACUGCAGAUGGUGACUGUAGCAAUGAAAUUAAAAGUUGCUUGCUCCUUGGAAGAAAAGCUAUGACCAACCUAGACAGCAUAUUAAAAAGCAGAGACAUGACUUUGCCAACAAAGGUCUAUCUAGUCAAAGCUAUGGUUUUCCCAGUACUCAUGUAUGGAUGUGAGAAUUGGACCAUAAAGAAAGCUGAGCACUGAAGAAUUGAUGCUUUUGAACUGUGGUGUUGGAGAAGACUCUUGAGAGUCCCUUGGACUAGAAGGAGAUCCAACCAGUCCAUCCUAAAGGAGAUCAGUCCUGAAUAUUCAUUGGAAGGACUGAUGCUGAAGCUGAAACUCCAAUACUUUGGCCACCUGAUGCGAAGAGCUGACUCACUGGAAAAGAUCCUGAUGCUGGGAAAGACUGAAGGCCCAGAAGACUCCUUCAGUCACAGAGAGUCGGACAUGACUGAGCGACUGAACUGAACUGUCCACUAAUUGUCACUGUAACCGAAGUCAACACAUUUGGAUCAGUUAAUUUCUUUGUAAGAGAAAAGUGAAGACCUCAUUUUGCAGUCAGUCAGUUCUUUCAGGCACUUUUCCACAAUCUCUCCUGCAGUCCUCUAUGGGGUUACUUUUGUGGACACUGGCGCAUUUCUCCCAGUCCUUUACGCCAUGUUGGUGGCUGGCAGGCCAUUCUAGGUAUAGCACUCAGUGGAAGAAGGACACCUCACCAGGGGCAGCUCUCCGUCAACAACUGGUUGGUGCUGGAUUAAAGGUGGGCUGACUUGCUGAGAGCUGAGACUGCACUGAACGGCCAUCACAGGCCCAGAGCUGUGCAACGCAUUGGUUAAGGACCUUGUGGGAACUGCGUCUCAGUUCAGUUCCUCCUCCUGCCUCCGUCGUGUCCCCGCAGUUGACCUUAAGGGCGCUCCCCAGUAGCAUUUCUAUAUGUGACUGUUCCUGUCAGAAUCCGUUUCCCAGGGAACCUGAUCUAAGAACGUU